GAAGGACAAGCCGGCUGGAGUCAUGGCUUCUUGGUGUUUCUUGUAGAAAUCAAAAGUGCGGAAGGUCCGCUGGGCCAGCUGAUAGCUGAGAAGAUGGAGAGUGUGUGAGAGUGGGGAGUGGGGCACCAAAGCCCCUCACCCCUCCACCCCAACAGGACAGAGGAGGCAGCCAAGCUCUGUGAACGCCUGGACAUACUGCAAACAUGGGAAGUGGGCUGGAGGAGCUCCUAGUGGGGGACGGAGCUCCAGAAAGCAUCAACUUGACAGCAAGGCCAUGCAGCCUGCUUCCAGGCCCCGGGAGCCAGGGGGUCAGCCACAGUCACUGAGGCUAGAAACCAUGCCACUUUUGGCUGCUUUUCCCUCUGCAUCUUGAAGUCUCCAGGACCUUCUCAGGGAGUCUGUGCCCAGCCUGGCACAGGGGCGGCGAACGCCUCAGGCAUAACUCCCCAGAGGGUCCUGCCGCACAGGCUGGUAACUACAGUUGAAUAAAAAUGACAGAAACCAGCCUGCCAGUCCCUGUCCCCAGUUAACCGCAAGGCUCAAAGUUGGGGUCACUGGCCUGACCUCUGCCCCCUGGCCUGGUGUUCAGAGCCAAAAGCUACCAAGAUAGAAGGCAGCCCAGUCUGGGCCCAGGGAAGGAGCACCCAGUGGUUCAAGGAGCACCUGGGAGACGCCACAGCUGCCAGGCCUCUCCCGCUCCUUCUCCCAUGUGACUGUCACAGUCCACCUUACGUUGAAUAAGGCACGUGGUGCCAUUAUCCCAGUUCUACAGGUGAAGAAAUGAGUUUAGAGAGACGAAGGGGCCAGGCAUGGUGGCUCACACUUGUAAUCCUAGCACUUUGGGAGGCAGAGGCGGGCAGAUCACUUGAGCUCAGGAGACCAGCCUGGGCAACAUGGUGAAACCCUGUCUCUAUAAAAAAAUACAAAAAUUAGCUGGGUGUAGUGGUUUGCACCUGUAGUCCCAGCUACUCAGGAGACUGAGGUGGGAGAAGCACCUGAGCCCAGGAGUUAGCGGCUGCAAUUAGCCAUGACUGCACCACUGUACUCCAGCCUGGGGGACAGAGUGAGACCCUGUCUCAAAAAAAAAAA